UGGGGAAUAUUGCACAAUGGAGGGAACUCUGAUGCAGCAACGCCGCGUGCGGGAUGACGGCCUUCGGGUUGUAAACCGCUUUCAGCCAUGACGAAGCUUUUGUGACGGUAGUGGUAGAAGAAGCACCGGCUAACUACGUGCCAGCAGCCGCGGUGAUACGUAGGGUGCGAGCGUUGUCUGGAAUUAUUGGGCGUAAAGAGCUUGUAGGCGGUUUGUCGCGUCGAUAGUGUAAACACGCAGCUUAACUGUGUGCCUGCUGUCGAUACGGGCUGACUAGAGGAGGGUAGGGGAGAAUGGAAUUCCCGGUGGAGCGGUGGAAUGCGCAGAUAUCGGGAGGAACACCAGUGGCGAAGGCGGUUCUCUGGACCUUUCCUGACGCUGAGAAGCGAAAGCGUGGGUAGCAAACAGG
rnacentral:rRNA from 1 species